rnacentral:rRNA from 1 species
UAUUCCCAAACAACUCGACUCUUCGAAAGUAUCUUACAAUGAGAAUAGAUUUUACGGGGCUGUCACCCUCUAAGGCGCUGUGUUCCAACAGACUUUAAUCCGCUCUCAAGAUACAAUCUACAAAUUACAACUCGACCUGGUGGCCGAUUUCAAAUUUGAGCUUUUGCCGCUUCACUCGCCGUUACUAAGGCAAUCCCUGUUGGUUUCUUUUCCUCCGCGCUUUAUUGAUAUGCA